rnacentral:ncRNA from 1 species
CUGAUUGUAGGAUUGCUGCUCGCUCCUGUCUUCUGCUACUCAUUCACAGACCUGGUCGUGUUGAGCAGUUGUUUGGCAGAUGUUAGUGGUGUUUCCUACUUUCAGUCGUCAGCAUCACUGGCUGAGUGGAAAUAAUCCUUGGAUGCUAAUUGGUUCGCUAUCUGUGAAUUGGUUGCUUCCUUGCGAUACUCACUACUCGGUCAGUGAGGAAGUGCGUUUGCUGGUCAACGAGCUUUCUAACUGUCAUUACCCUGCGCUUUUCGAUUCGUCGAGUGGCCAGGAUGUGGCUUUGAGAUUGUUCGCACUUAGUAAUCGCGAUGCUGGCUUCCAACGGUUGCCUCCGGCCCGUCUUGAAACACGGACCAAGGAGUCUAACGUAUGUGCGAGUGUGUGAGUGGCAAACUUAUACGCGUAAUGAAAGUGAGGCCGUAUGGCCAUGUUGGGGUCACCAACAACCGACCUUGAUCUUCGGUGAAAGGUUUGAGUAUGAGCAUAUCCGUUAGGACCCGAAAGAUGGUGAACUAUGCCUGAGCAGGGUGAAGCCAGGGGAAACUCUGGUGGAGGCUCGUAGCGAUACUGACGUGCAAAUCGUUCGUCAGACUUGGGUAUAGGGGCGAAAGACUAAUCGAACCAUCUAGUAGCUGGUUCCCUCCGAAGUUUCCCUCAGGAUAGCUAGAGUCUUUAUCAGUUUUGUCAGGUAAAGCGAAUGAUUAGAGGUUCCGGGGAAGUAACUUCCUCGACCUAUUCUCAAACUUUAAAUGGGCAAGAUCCAGUAGUUACUUAAUUGAACUAUUGGGGUCAAUGAGACGACUCUAAGUGGGCCAUUUUUGGUAAGCAGAACUGGCGAUGAGGGAUGAACCUAACGCUCGGUUAUGUGCUAAACUGCUCGCUCAUCAGAUACCACAAAGGGUGUUGGUCGAUCUUACAGCAGACAGUGGUCAUGGAAGUCGAAAUCCGCUAAGAGUGUGUAACAACUCACCUGCCGAAUCGACUAGCCCGAAAAUGGAUAGCGCUGAAGCGAGUGACCGAUACCGGGCCAUUGUUGCAAGA